rnacentral:rRNA from 1 species
GACAGAGGGUGCAAACGUUGUUCGGAUUUACUGGGCGUAAAGCGCGUGUAGGCGGCUUGGCAAGUUGAAUGUGAAAGCCCACGGCUCAACCGUGGAAGCGCAUCCAAAACUGCUUCGCUUGAGUCUCGGAGAGGAAGGUGGAAUGCUUGGUGUAGAGGUGAAAUUCGUAGAUAUCAAGCAGAACACCUGCGGCGAAGGCGGCCUUCUGGACGAUGACUGACGCUGAGACGCGAAAGCGUGGGGAGCAAACAGG